GGAGGGGUUCCCGAGUGGCCAAAGGGAUCAGACUGUAAAUCUGACGUCAUCGACUUCGAAGGUUCGAAUCCUUCCCCCUCCACCA
rnacentral:tRNA from 10 species